rnacentral:rRNA from 1 species
UGGGGAAUAUUGGACAAUGGGCGGAAGCCUGAUCCAGCCAUGCCGCGUGUGUGAAGAAGGCCUUUUGGUUGUAAAGCACUUUAAGCGAGGAGGAGGCUCUUCUAGUUAAUACCUUGCUGUUUUGACGUUACCGACAGAAUAAGCACCGGCUAACUCUGUGCCAGCAGCCGCGGUAAUACAGAGGGUGCAAGCGUUAAUCGGAAUUACUGGGCGUAAAGCGCGCGUAGGUGGUUCGUUAAGUUGAAUGUGAAAGCCCCGGGCUCAACCUGGGAACUGCAUCCAAAACUGGCGAGCUAGAGUAGGGCAGAGGGUGGUGGAAUUUCCUGUGUAGCGGAGAAAUGCGUAGAUAUAGGAAGGAACACCAGUGGCGAAGGCGACCACCUGGGCUCAUACUGACACUGAGGUGCGAAAGCGUGGGGAGCAAACAGG